AUUGAACGCUGGCGGCAGGCCUAACACAUGCAAGUCGAGCGGAUGAAGGGAGCUUGCUCCUGGAUUCAGCGUGGGGAGGGUGAGUGAUGCCUAUGAAUAUGCCUGGUAGUGGGGUAGAACAUCCUGAGACAGCCGCGAAUACCGCAUACGUCGAGCGCGUGAUAGUGGGGGAGCUUCGGACCUUACGCGAGGAGGUGGACCUAGGCGGGGUUAGCUAGCUGGUUGGGUAAAGGCCUGCUAAGGCGGCGAUUCGUAACUGGUCUGAGUGGAUGAUCAGUCACACUGGAAGUGAGACACGGUCCAGACUACUACGGGAGGCAGCAGUGGGGAAUAUUGGACAAUGGGCGAAAGCAUGAUCCAGCGAUGCCGCGUGUGUGACGAAGGUCUUGGGAUUGUAAAGAACUCUAAGUUGGGAGAAACCGCAGUAAGUUAAGACCUUGCUCUUUUGACGGUAAUAAGAGAAUAAGCACCGGCUAACUUCGUG
rnacentral:rRNA from 1 species